rnacentral:rRNA from 1 species
UACGGAGGGGGCGAGCGUUAUUCGGAAUUAUUGGGCGUAAAGGGCGCGUAGGCGGCUGGUUAAGUCAAAGGUGAAAUCCCUCGGCUCAACUGAGGAACUGCCUUUGAAACUGUUUGGCUCGAGUCCGGGAGGGGGUAGCGGAAUUCCCAGUGUAGCGGUGAAAUGCGUAGAUAUUGGGAGGAACACCAGUGGCGAAGGCGGCUACCUGGACCGGAACUGACGCUGAUGCGCGAAAGCGUGGGGAGCGAACCGG